UACGAAGGGUGCAAGCGUUAAUCGGAAUUACUGGGCGUAAAGGGUGCGUAGGCGGUUGUUUAAGUCUGUCGUGAAAUCCCCGGGCUCAACCUGGGAAUGGCGAUGGAUACUGGGCAGCUAGAGUGUGUCAGAGGAUGGUGGAAUUCCCGGUGUAGCGGUGAAAUGCGUAGAGAUCGGGAGGAACAUCAGUGGCGAAGGCGGCCAUCUGGGACGGUACUGACGCUGAGACGCGAAAGCGUGGGGAGCGAACAGG
rnacentral:rRNA from 1 species